CUUCCUUCUCUCCCCUAUGGGUUCUAGUCACGGGUCACAUGAUGUUAACAGAAAUUCUGCCAAAGGACAAAGCCUACUCCCCGACCUAAUCAUGGAAAUCGAAUGUGGCAGAUGGCUCCACCGGUGCGCUCACUUCGGCCUUGUAAUAAAUCUGAAAUAUUCCCCCGCAGGAUCUCAGAGUGUUACCAAUUCAUCAAGUUCAUUUCAACACAUGGCUGUAUCUGUAGUUACG